UCCCGCGGGAGCGUCCAGGACCCGCUGCGCCAGGCGCGCCGUCCCCGGGCCCGGCGUGCGUUCCCACGAGGGCAGUGACCCCGCCGCUCCACCCGCCUCUCCGCCCCGCUUCCUGCCUCCUUCGCCACCCCCGACGAGGGCCCAGGAGACAGCCGAGCCUGCCCUCGCCCCCGGCCCGCCGCCCUCCCGCCGCUCUGCGCGCCAUGGACGCCCAGGAGCCGCAGCCCGACCCCGACGGCGGGGACGCCCCGGGCCACGAGCCUGGAGGCAGCCCCCAAGACGAGUUCGACUUCUCCAUCCUCUUCGAUUAUGACUAUUUGAAUCCUAUCGAAGAAGAACCGAAUGCACAUAAGGUCGCCAGCCCACCCUCCGGACUCGCAUACCCCGAUGAUGUCCUGGACUAUGGCCUCAAGCCAUACAGCCCCCUAGCCAGUCUCUCUGGCGAGCCCCCCCGCCGGUUGGGAGAGCCGGAUAGGGUAGGGCCCCAGAACUUUCUGUGCCCUGCCAAGCCAGCGGGGGCCUCGGGCCUGAGCCCUCGGAUCGAGAUCACUCCAUCCCACGAACUGAUGCAGGCAGGGGGGCCCUUCCGCGUGAGAGACACUGGCCUCCUGGUGGAGCAGCCGCCCCUGCCGGGGGUGGGCGCCAGCCCGAGGUUCACGCUGCCCGUGCCCGGCUUCGAGGGCUACCGCGAGCCGCUUUGCUUGAGCCCCGCUAGCAGCGGCUCCUCUGCCAGCUUCAUUUCCGACACCUUCUCCCCCUACACCUCGCCCUGCGUCUCGCCCAAUAACGGCGGGCCCGACGACCUGUGUCCCCAGUUUCAAAACAUCCCUGCUCAUUAUUCCCCCAGAACCUCGCCAAUAAUGUCACCUCGAACCGGCCUCGCUGAGGACAGCUGCCUGGGCCGCCACUCGCCCGUGCCCCGUCCGGCCUCCCGCUCCUCGUCGCCUGGUACCAAGCGGAGGCAUUCGUGCGCUGGGGCCUUGGUUGCCCCGCUGCCCGGAGCCUCACCCCAGCGCUCGCGGAGCCCCUCGCCGCAGCCCCGGGACGACGGCGCCCCUGCCGGGUACCCCCCCGCGGCUGGCUCUGCCGUCCUCAUGGAUGCCCUGAACAGCCUCGCUGCCGACUCGCCCUGUGGGAUCCCCACCAAGAUGUGGAAGACCAGCCCCGACCCGUCGCCGGUGUCCACCGCCCCGUCCAAGGCUGGCCUGCCCCGCCACAUCUACCCGGCCGUGGAGUUCCUGGGGCCCUGCGAGCAGGAGGAGAGGAGGAACUCAGCCCCCGAGUCCAUCUUGCUGGUGCCACCAACUUGGCCCAAGCAGCUGGUGCCCGCCAUUCCCAUCUGCAGCAUCCCAGUGACUGCAUCCCUCCCUCCACUUGAGUGGCCACUCUCCCACCAGUCAGGCUCCUAUGAGCUGAGGAUCGAGGUGCAGCCCAAGCCACAUCACCGAGCUCACUACGAGACAGAAGGCAGCCGAGGGGCUGUCAAAGCUCCGACCGGCGGCCACCCUGUGGUUCAGCUCCAUGGCUACAUGGAAAACAAGCCGCUGGGGCUUCAGAUCUUCAUUGGGACGGCCGACGAGCGGAUCCUUAAGCCCCAUGCCUUCUACCAGGUACACCGGAUCACGGGGAAAACCGUCACCACCACCAGCUACGAGAAGAUCGUGGGCAACACCAAAGUCCUGGAGAUUCCGCUGGAGCCAAAAAACAACAUGAGGGCAACCAUUGACUGUGCGGGGAUCCUGAAGCUUCGGAAUGCGGACAUUGAGCUGCGGAAAGGCGAGACGGACAUCGGGAGGAAGAACACGCGGGUGAGGCUGGUGUUCCGGGUGCACAUUCCAGAGUCCAGCGGAAGGAUCGUUUCCUUGCAGACAGCAUCUAACCCCAUCGAGUGCUCCCAGCGAUCCGCCCAUGAGCUGCCCAUGGUGGAAAGACAAGACAUCGACAGCUGCCUGGUCUACGGGGGCCAGCAGAUGAUUCUCACGGGACAGAACUUCACGGCCGAGUCCAAAGUCGUGUUUACCGAGAAGACCACAGAUGGGCAGCAGAUUUGGGAGAUGGAGGCCACGGUGGAUAAAGACAAGAGCCAGCCUAACAUGCUUUUUGUUGAGAUCCCUGAGUAUCGGAACAAGCACAUUCGGACAUCCGUGAAGGUGAACUUCUACGUCAUCAACGGGAAAAGAAAACGAAGUCAGCCUCAGCACUUUACCUACCACCCAGUCCCAGCCAUCAAGACGGAGCCCACCGAUGAAUACGACCCCACCUUGAUCUGCAGCCCUGCCCACGGGGGCCUGGGGAGCCAGCCUUACUACCCACAGCACCCAAUGGUGGCCGAGUCCCCCUCCUGCCUCGUGGCCACCAUGGCUCCCUGCCAGCAGUUCCGCUCAGGGCUCUCAUCCCCCGACGCCCGCUACCAGCAGCAGAACCCAGCGGCCGUCCUCUACCAGCGGAGCAAGAGCCUGAGCCCCAGCCUGCUGGGCUACCAGCAGCCGGCCCUCAUGGCUGCCCCCCUGUCCCUCGCGGAUGCCCACCGCUCCGUGCUAGUGCACGCUGGCUCCCAGGGCCAGAGCUCGGCCCUGCUCCACUCCAGUCCAGCCAACCAGCAGGCCUCACCGGUGAUCCACUACUCGCCCACCAACCAGCAGCUGCGCUGCGGAAGCCACCAGGAGUUCCAGCACAUCGUGUACUGCGAGAACUUCGCGCCCGGCACCACCAGGCCCGGCCCACCCCCUGUCAGUCAAGGUCAGAGGCUGAGCCCGGGCUCCUACCCCACGGUCAUUCAGCAGCAGAAUGCCACAAGCCAAAGAGCCGCCAAAAACGGACCUCCAGUCAGUGACCAAAAGGAAGUAUUACCCGCGGGCGUGACAAUUAAACAGGAGCAGAACUUGGACCAGACCUACUUGGAUGACGUUAAUGAAAUUAUCAGGAAGGAGUUUUCAGGACCUCCUGCCCGAAAUCAGACGUAGAAGAAGCCAUUAGCAAGACACCAUCCACAUCGCUAACCCCGGAGCCUCCCACCGUCCUCCCCGGUAUCCACCCCACCCGGAGGCUGAGCACGGGACCAUGUACCGGCCGAAAGCUAACCCUCCACUCCGGAGCUCGCCUCCUCUCUCUGUGCAUUCUGAGUCUUGUUCUAAAUCCCAAAGAGCAUCUCGGUUGACUUUCAGGUGUCCCAUCCAAAUCUUAAGUGCCUGCUGACCCCAAAUACAUCCUGAACCAGACCACCCGCUGGAAUGCGCCUGAGAGCUGAGAGCCUGCAGCCGGGGACUCGGGGGACGGAAGAUGGGGAUGCAGUUAAACCCCAGCCCUUAGCCUUCACUUUUUUGGGUCACAGAUACAGCUCUUGUACCUUUUGAAGGAAAGGAGUUCUCUAACAGAGCCACCAAAGGAACGUGACCCAGCUUACAGGCUGAAGACAAACAAAGAAGCCGGCUCAUCUUCCCUAGGGAUUGCCCGUCCACACCAGGGAUGGGCCACAGCUCAAGCUUGAUUUUUAAAUGUUCUGCUUCUGAAUCAAGAACAGUCUGGCUCAUACAAGAUCACUUGUUAAAACUUCUUGGCGUUAUGACAUGUACACUUUUUUUUCUUCUCCACUUUCAAAAAGCUGGCCAGAGGCGGGGGUGGGGGGCCCUCUUGGCUAGCUGCCCUUGCCCCCGGCAGCACGCGGUCACGGGCUAGAGGAGGUCACCCAGGCUGCCAGGAAAAAAAAAAAACCCAAAACAAAAGCCCACCUCAGAGGCUGUUAGUCACCUGUCUGCUAGAAGAAACCAUCUCCAGAGAAAGGAGGGGGAACGGCUCUGUGGAAGAAGGAAGCACCUAUUUGUUGCUUGAGGAUGCUGCUGACUUCAGCUCUGAGCCUCCGUCUUGUCACUAAGAACUGGAAAGUGUUUAGAUCCCUCCAAUUAGGGACCUAGUAGGUGAUUUUGAUGUAACAAAACUGCCUGUGUUGUAAAAUGGGGAGUCUAAAAAAGACGCAAGAGUAAUGGGGAGUUCCUAGAACAGAAGUGCAGGCUAAUGUUUACAGAGCUAACUGAAUCCUGGUAGAUAAACCCCCGUACACAUUACCCAAAGGACAUCCAGAGUUUUCCAGCAAAGACACAGACUAGACGAAUCAAGUCGAUUCCUUCUAAGAACUGGGAAGCACUGAUGUAGCCUUUCUUGUUUACAUCCAGUGGCCAAGCCGUCCCUCUCAGGAAGCCAGCCUUGGCCAGUGCGGGAGCUGUCAUGUGUAGACAGAUCGGAAGCUGAUGUGUUCUCAUUUCUCACUCUGGACUAAAGGGGAGGCUUGAGUUUAUUUUCACGUCAAACCCUUUCCAAGACCUUCUUAUUUGUUCAGAAUUGAAAGAAUGUCAGGGGUCUGGUUAACAACUUUGUUUGCUUUACGUUUACAAGUGGCACAGGGGUUGUGACAUUCUUGACGAGUCGGGGUAAACCUUCCUGAACUCACUUUUGGAGGGCCAGGCCCUUAGCAGCUACCCAACAUAUCUUAACCUUGGGUCUCCCAAGCUUGGGUCUCGGGCAUUAAAUCUCAUGGAGCCAAACUAGCCAAUGCAAGUGGUUUUCCUGCAUUCCAACUAAAUGCUUAAGAAAAAGAAGCAUCACAUGAAACUGAUCACAAACAUCAAUUUCUCUCAGCUUUCAUGAGUGCCUUGAGUUAUAGCCAACAUCACUGUCUUAACUCAGUUUGUUUAGAAACAAACUUUUCUGGUGAUUGUUGAGCUAGCGGUGGCUCCGUAAGCCAGCCCUUCUGAAAGUGAACUGGAGUGUUGGGUGCUGGCAGAAAGGUUUAACACCCUGCCUUUAUGCAGCUGUUGGCCAAUUAUAAUAAACUCCACCUGCCUAGUUCAGGCUUUGGAUGCAAAUGAUGCUGUUCUAUUAGCAGGUGCUUUCAGCACUCUGAUUGGCCCGAAUGGAUGGAUGCUGUGGUUGGGACAAGCUUAGCAUCCUGACACACCUUGUCAAAGAACCUCACUCACCCCUGUUGCCUCUACAGCCCUCAGAGGGGAGAAAAUGUUGAGAAUGCCCUCGCUAAUUCUCCAACAAAUAGAAGUCUCUCCCACAGGGUGGUACUGGAAGGCUUAGGUUUCGAAAAUCUUGACUGUUAAAAGGAGUUUGAAUACAUCACAUUCCUAUGCAAAACAUUUUUAACCUUCAGUUUAAUGUAGUUUAUUUUUGCUAUAUGUAAAGUAUUUUUAUACGGCUUGUAUCAUGAUAGUUUAGCAAUAAAAC